rnacentral:siRNA from 1 species
CGGAGGGAAUGAGCUAGUGA